UCGCAGAUCAGAAUGCUGCGGUGAAUGCGUUCCCGGGUCUUGUACACACCGCCCGUCACACCACGGGAGUUGGGGACGCCCGAAGCCGAUUAUCUAACCUUUUGGAAGAAGUCGUCGAAGGUGGAAUUAAUAACUGGGGUGAAGUCGUAACAAGGUAGCCGUAUCGGAAGGUGCGGCUGGAUCACCUCCUUUCUAAGGAGA
rnacentral:rRNA from 1 species